UCGACUGUUUUAGGUAAUUUCAACCACUUCCGGUCAUUUUCAGCUUACAUGGUAGUUAUGAAAAUUGUUAAGCAUGAUGAGAGGAAGAAGAGCAGCCCGGCCCCGACACCAUUGGCGGUGGUCGGCGGCGGCUCUGCCACUAACUCCGGCGGCCCUUUCCGGCCACCUCCGGGGAUCAAAAAUAUGGUUUCUGUACAUUUUCAGAUUCUAUAUUUCAAUACGAUCAUUUUGGUAUAUUACACGUAAUUUUUGGAUAUCGUAUGAUUAAGUUAUGAAUUUUUAAGUUUCGAUCGAUUUCGAUCGUUCGAUUUGUGAUCUGUGAAGAUCAGACCGUCUGAUGGAAUUGUAGAUUUGAUAUGUUGAUCGUAUGACUGUCCCGAUGACUUUGUGUGGUCACGGACGAAGAUCCGACCGUUGGAUCUUCGUAUAAUUGAGAAAUGGUGAUUCGGGAGGCGAUUUGUGAGAAUCCAUCCGUCGGAUUUUUAUAUAAGUUAGAAUCCGACCGUCAGAUUCCCGUAUAUGUGUGCUUUUGAGUUGUUGGCUAAGUUAAGAUCAUUAUUGGAUUAGGUGAUCGAUGGAUUUAUUUGGCGGACGAUUCGUGAGAUUGUUAAUUGAGCUGUUAAGAAGACGCAGCUGGAUCAGAGCGGAUAAUCCUACAGGACUGGAGAAUUCAGGAAGGUGAUCGAACCGUGUAGAGUAGCUGCUUUGUAAUACUCUGAUUUUCAGUUGUGAGGUUUGUUAUGCUCAUUAGAGCUUUACAAUUUACUUUGUACGAGUGAGUUGUAAUAAUUAACUCGAGGUCUUCGAGUUUUGAAUUUGAGCGUGAGUGGCGAGGUUGUUUCUGAGAAAAAAAAAUUCAGAACGUUUAUUUGUUUAAGUUGUUUAAUUCA